rfam:Sodalis praecaptivus strain HS1, complete genome.
AUCAUCUUGUCGGAGUGCCCAGCGCGUAUGUUACGCCGGGCUGAGACCGUUCAUUCGGGAUCCGCGGAACCUGAUCAGGUUAAAACCUGCGAAGGGAACAAGAGUAAUUCAUUC